CGAAAGCCUGACGGAGCAAGACCGCGUGAGGGAGGAAGGCUCUUGGGUUGUAAACCUCUUUUCUCAGGGAAGAAGCUCUGACGGUACCUGAGGAAUCAGCCUCGGCUAACUCCGUGCCAGCAGCCGCGGUAAUACGGAGGAGGCAAGCGUUAUCCGGAAUUAUUGGGCGUAAAGCGUCCGCAGGUGGCAGUUCAAGUCUGCUGUCAAAGACAGUGGCUCAACCACUGAAAGGCAGCAGAUACUGAGCAGCUAGAGUGCGGUAGGGGCAGAGGGAAUUCCCGGUGUAGCGGUGAAAUGCGUAGAUUUCGGGAAGAACAUCGGUGGCGAAAGCGCUCUGCUGGACCGCAACUGACACUCAGGGACGAAAGCUAGGGGAGCG
rnacentral:rRNA from 1 species